rnacentral:lncRNA from 1 species
AUGCCAAUACAGAGGAGCGAGCACAGCUCAUCUGGUCUGGGGCAGGGCGCUCACCGCGUUCAGGCGGUCUGGGCGAGCACACGCAAUCUGGGCCGAAUUUCACACACUGUAUUCAGCCAAGCAGAGGAAAGAAAAAUGAAAACCACUUUUAUCUCCUCAACAGACAGAUGGAUGUACCUUGUAGCAGCCUUCAGUGCAGCUCGUGAGAGAAUCCUGACUCAGUUUUGGAGCUGGCACCUCCUGUACUUGAUGGUGUGUAACACCCCGUGCCUGGCGCAGUGCCCGACGCUUCGUGGCUCUCAACGAUACCAUGAGUGGCCGUGUCUUCGGGAGGGGAAGCGGGACAUGAAACGCAUAGGGACCUUUUUGAACCUGGCAAACUUCAGAGUUCUUCCAUCUCACCUUCUGGGGUUUCACCUGCAUCCCAGCCCAGGCCCACCCUGCCUUCCAGGCGCUGUAACCAGGCCUGCCUUCUCCAGGCGGAGCGCUGCUUUUCCUCAAGAUCUUCCCUUCAGCGGAAACUUUGCUGUCCCGUGUCCCACUCUUGCGGUUGAACGGAGAACUGCAGUUGUCAGAAAGCUCUCUAGGCAGAGCCCCAGGGAAGUGCUAACAGCUCGGGGAGACGCCCAGGCCUGGCGUAGAAGGGUGCUGUGGACUGAGUGUGCAUGUCCCCCAGAUUGGACAGAGAGAGAUGUACCCACAAAGAGAAGGGGCAGCUCAAGUAGCACCUGGAUGGAAGGUGACUUUUGUGACUGUCAUACAUGGGACAGCUCCUGAGAACAGGAGUAUCUGAGUCAAACGUACGGUUCAUCAAAGCACCAGAGUGGGUGUGAGUGCUACAAAAACUACCUCUUGACGUGAUAGUUCUGAGGCAGCCUUCUUUUCUGGAGUCGUUAAGCCAGAACUGACCCUGUAGGGAAGGAAGAGGAAGACGCGGAGAUGACCACCCCAAAUGCCGGACUUGAUAGGCUCUGGGGUCCGUCUUCUUCAGAAUGCACUUACUGAGUCACCUCUGUGCCCCGGCUGGACCCUUGUGAUCUCUGCUCUUGGGGGCUGGCCACGUUUUUCCAUGUGAGACAUUAGAUAACACCAAGGGUCUCUGGCCCCAGCUCAGAAGGAUGGAAGAAAAGCAGCGUCCUGGAGUGGCAUCGGAAAGGCAAGGGGAGCUUCUUGCCACGCUCAGCCCGGAGCUGGGCGGAGGGCUCGCUCUCUGUGGUCAGCAGCGUGCAUUCCCAUUCUGUUGUAAGCGGCGUAGCACACCCGACAGAGCUAUAUGCUGUGUCAGACUGCUUUACAACAGUCUUUAAUAACAGACGCCAGGACAUUUCCACUAGUGCCAAAUGGGCUCUGAAGCGGAAACAGGAAGGCUGCUUGUGAGCGUGGCAGCAUUGCCACCUUCCUGCUACCAGGGC